rnacentral:sRNA from 1 species
UGAUCCACCCUCCUCAGUCUCCCAAAGUGCUAGGAUUACAGGCGUGAGCCACUGUGCCCGGCCAUUUCUCACAUUCUUGCCAACAUUAGACUUUUGCAUGCUUGUGUGCCCCCCUUUUGUUUGGCAUUUUGCCAGUUUGGUGGGGAAAAUAAUUUGUGUUUCUUGAUUACUGCUGAGGUUUAAUUCUUUUCAUAUAGCUUUACAGACUUGACCAGUUAGGGUAAAAUUAUCUAUUGACAUGAAUAUCUAGAUAAAGUUUGAAAGGUAAAGUAGGGUUAAUAUGUAUUUUUUGUUGGUUUUGUUUAGUUCCGAUGAAGUUAAAUUCCGUCAAGAUUUAAUGAAUAUUGCGGGCACAACAUUAUCCUCAAAACUUCUUACUCAUCACAAAGACCACUUCACAAAGUUAGCUGUAGAAGCAGUUCUCAGACUGAAAGGCUCUGGCAACCUGGAGGCAAUUCAUAUUAUCAAGAAGCUAGGAGGAAGUUUGGCAGAUUCCUAUUUAGAUGAAGGCUUUCUGUUGGAUAAAAAAAUUGGAGUAAAUCAACCAAAACGAAUUGAAAAUGCUAAAAUUCUUAUUGCAAAUACUGGUAUGGAUACAGACAAAAUAAAGAUAUUUGGUUCCCGGGUAAGAGUUGACUCUACAGCAAAGGUUGCAGAAAUAGAACAUGCGGAAAAGGAAAAAAUGAAAGAGAAAGUUGAACGUAUUCUUAAGCAUGGAAUAAAUUGCUUUAUUAACAGGCAAUUAAUUUAUAAUUAUCCUGAACAGCUCUUUGGUGCUGCUGGUGUCAUGGCUAUUGAGCAUGCAGAUUUUGCAGGUGUGGAACGCCUAGCUCUU